UUAUAGAAAAAUUUAGCAACAUCUACAAAACCAAAUUAGUUUUAUAAUAACUAGUAUCUAAUAUAUUCUGAUAGUAUGUUUGUUUUGUGUUGAAAAUAUUGCUGUAUUUUUCUAUAA
rnacentral:miRNA from 1 species